UCAGACUGAACGCUCGGCGGCAUGCUUAACUCAAUGCAAGUCGAACGGCAGCACGGGAGGCAAUCCUGGUGGCGAGUGGCGAACGGGUGAGUAAUACAAUCGGAACGUAGCCCAAUCUGGGGGAGUAACGCAGCGAAAGCUGUGCUAAUACCGCAUACGAUCUACGGAUGAAAGCAGGGGACCGCAAGGCCUUGCGCGAAUGGAGCGGCCGAUGGCAGAUUAGGUAGUUGGUGAGGUAAAGGCUCACCAAGCCUUCGAUCUGUAGCUGGUCUGAGAGGACGACCAGCCACACUGGGACUGAGACACGGCCCAGACUCCUACGGGAGGCAGCAGUGGGGAAUUUUGGGCAAUGGGCGAAAGCCUGAUCCAGCAAUGCCGCGUGCAGGAUGAAGGCCUUCGGGUUGUAAACUGCUUUUGUACGGAACGAAACGGUUCUUUCUAAUAAAGAGGGCUAAUGACGGUACCGUAAGAAUAAGCACCGGCUAACUACGUG
rnacentral:rRNA from 1 species